UGGGGAAUAUUGCACAAUGGGCGCAAGCCUGAUGCAGCCAUGCCGCGUGUAUGAAGAAGGCCUUCGGGUUGUAAAGUACUUUCAGCGGGGAGGAAGGUGUUGAGGUUAAUAACCUCAGCAAUUGACGUUACCCGCAGAAGAAGCACCGGCUAACUCCGUGCCAGCAGCCGCGGUAAUACGGAGGGUGCAAGCGUUAAUCGGAAUUACUGGGCGUAAAGCGCACGCAGGCGGUCUGUCAAGUCGGAUGUGAAAUCCCCGGGCUCAACCUGGGAACUGCAUUCGAAACUGGCAGGCUAGAGUCUUGUAGAGGGGGGUAGAAUUCCAGGUGUAGCGGUGAAAUGCGUAGAGAUCUGGAGGAAUACCGGUGGCGAAGGCGGCCCCUGGACAAAGACUGACGCUCAGGUGCGAAAGCGUGGGGAGCAAACA
rnacentral:rRNA from 1 species